AGAGUUUGAUUCUGGCUCAGAACGAACGCUGGCGGCAUGCCUAAUACAUGCAAGUCGAACGAGAUCUUCGGAUCUAGUGGCGCACGGGUGCGUAACGCGUGGGAAUCUACCCUUGGGUUCGGAAUAACAUCGGGAAACUGAUGCUAAUACCGGAUGAUGACGUAAGUCCAAAGAUUUAUCGCCCAGGGAUGAGCCCGCGUAGGAUUAGCUAGUUGGUGAGGUAAAGGCUCACCAAGGCGACGAUCCUUAGCUGGUCUGAGAGGAUGAUCAGCCACACUGGGACUGAGACACGGCCCAGACUCCUACGGGAGGCAGCAGUAGGGAAUAUUGGACAAUGGGGGCAACCCUGAUCCAGCAAUGCCGCGUGAGUGAUGAAGGCCUUAGGGUUGUAAAGCUCUUUUACCCGGGAUGAUAAUGACAGUACCGGGAGAAUAGCCUCGGC
rnacentral:rRNA from 1 species